rnacentral:rRNA from 1 species
UACGUAGGGCGCAAGCGUUGUCCGGAAUUAUUGGGCGUAAAGAGCUCGUAGGCGGCCUGUUGCGUCCGCUGUGAAAUCCCGGGGCUCAACCCCGGGCCUGCAUUCGAUACGGGCAGGCUAGAGUUCGGUAGGGGAGACUGGAAUUCCUGGUGCAGCGGUGAAAUGCGCAGAUAUCAGGAGGAACACCGGUGGCGAAGGCGGGUCUCUGGGCCGAUACUGACGCUGAGGAGCGAAAGCGUGGGGAGCGAACAGG